UCGAAUUUUUGUCAGCUGCCUUGAUCUACGAAGGAAGAUUUUUUUUUACGGGAUUUUAGGAAAGAAAGAAAUCACAAAAUGCCAUCUUUGAUUCAAAUACAGCCAAUAAAUGAUCAAACUUCAAGAGAAGAUGCGUCAAGCCAGGAGUACAAAGAUAUUGACGAACAGCUCCUCAGAAAAAUCGGAGAAAUAUACAGCCCCGUGCUAAAAGCAAUGAAAUGGUUUGGUUGCUACUUUCGAGAUGUAUCCCUAACGCAUUUGUCCAGUGCGGGUGCAGCGAAGAAUGGCAGGAAAAGGAACAUUUUUACAUUGCUCUAUUGUGUUGUAGUGCUCGCUGGUCACUGGUUUAAUUUUGUGAUGGCCUUUACUGACAUCUUCUUUGGAAAAAACCCUUUCGUCUUCAUGAUGUUUUGUGUUUGGUGCCUUUUAAUUGCACUCAGUGGCAUGGUUUGCCUUUUUGUGUUAUGUGUAUCUUUUUCAGAUACAGGCCACUCUCGAUUUGAAAAUUUCGUUCUUCACUUAAGCGCUUUAGACAUCAGAGUAGAUUUAGAAAAACUGAAGAAAAAAUCAAGAAAAGGAAUUGUUGCAUUUUGGAUCCUUUUUAUUACAUUUGGAAUCGGUGUCUUCGCGACUAAUUUUCAUUUGAACAUGAAACUAGCAUAUCACAAGCCUUGGAAUGUUUGGCCGGGCCUGAACAAUUUCUCAGUAACUUUUCUCUUUAUUGGAAGUUCUUUGUGGAUUUUACCAGUUCUGCUUCAUCAUAUCACAUGCGAAAUACUAAAGGAAUUGUUUGAUGAUUUGCAUAGGAGAAUGUCCUCAGGCACAUCUACCGUCUCGCUGGGUUUCGAGGCAUUCAAGAUAGAGCACCAUAAGCUAUGUGGAGUUGUCGCAUCUGCUGACAAGGCGCUUUCACCUCUUCUUCUCGAGAUGGUUGGUCUGUACAUCCCAUUGAUGAUUCUUAAUUUGUUCAAGAUAAUAAGCUUACCACAUGGUGAGGACAAAUAUGAAUUUCUGGCGUCAAAUAUCUUCUGGCUACUGGUUUCAAUUUUUUUUUAUCAAUAAUUAUGUCAUUUGGCUCCAGCAUUUCUGAAAAGAUCAACAGUUUCAAAGCGAUUUUGCAGACCUUUCCUGUUUCAAAAGAGGACGAAGGGAAGUUGCUGUUAUUUGUAUUGGAUCUUCAAGAUGAGCCAAAAGGUCUUUCCCUCGGAGGUUGUGUGGUCAUCACCAAAUCACUCUCCUUAACGAUUGUUGGAUUGAUCAUCUCUUACUUCACAGUGCUGCUAUCGUUGCCAAGAUAAUCAUCAGGAUUGAAGAUAGUUCUCUUCAGAAAGGGAUGGAACAGAAUCUAACAAAAACAAUCCAGCGCUGGCGUCGAUAGAGCCAGUGAAAUGUUAUUUUAUGAAAGACGAUUUCAACUUGCCCUUCUGAAAAAUGAAGCACAAAAAAAAAACCGCCUGAAGAAAACAUAAGUAACGUUAGAUAAAGUUAGAUAACUCAAAUAAUCAGAGUGAUCCUACUCACCUGGAUUUGAUUGGAAACUCUUGUUGGUAUUCUGUUCGCUGCUUCGUCCAAAUGCCAGGGACACGUAUUACAAUAUAACUAAAAAUCUCGCUUAACAAAGCUACUGUACUUAUGGCUCGUAGAAUUUUUGCUAUAGAGCUACAAAUGUAACAUUAUCAUUGAAAAGUAAAAUAACUGUAAGAUACCUAAGCUUAUAUCGAGCAUUAAUCAAGGCAUGGCUGUUUGGCCUAGGUUCAACUCACAUUCUUAAAGGUAAUGUAAAACAGCUGUGAAGAUGAACUCUGUUGAAGAAAUUUUACUAAUGUUUUGCUUUCCCCUCUCACUUCUGGCUUGGGGUUUUACAAUUAAGUUACCAAAUUAUAAAAACCUGAAAAUCGA
rnacentral:misc_RNA from 1 species